rnacentral:tRNA from 1 species
GCGAGCGUGGCGGAACGGCAUACGCGUGCGUCUCAGAAGCGCAUUUUUGGAGGUUCAAAUCCUCUCGUUCGCACCA